rnacentral:rRNA from 1 species
GUGGGGAAUAUUGCACAAUGGGGGAAACCCUGAUGCAGCGACGCCGCGUGAACGAAGAAGGUAUUCGUAUCGUAAAGUUCUGUCCUAUGGGAAGAUAAUGACAGUACCAUAGAAGAAAGCUCCGGCUAAAUACGUGCCAGCAGCCGCGGUAAUACGUAUGGAGCGAGCGUUGUCCGGAAUUAUUGGGCGUAAAGGGUACGCAGGCGGUUUAAUAAGUCGAAUGUUAAAGAUCGGGGCUCAACCCCGUAAAGCAUUGGAAACUGAUAAACUUGAGUAGUGGAGAGGAAAGUGGAAUUCCUAGUGUAGUGGUGAAAUACGUAGAUAUUAGGAGGAAUACCAGUAGCGAAGGCGACUUUCUGGACACAAACUGACGCUGAGGUACGAAAGCGUGGGGAGCAAACAGGAUUAGAAACCCCUGUAGUCC